UAUUUGAGAUCUCUUAAGAUCAGCUAUUUGCUAAUAUGAUAAAGGUGGACGCUGUACUUGUCUGAAAACAGAAACUAUGAUGAUUCACAUUACUGGCUUGCUGUCCUUUGGCGGGAAAGCUAACAGGUGAACUUGCUCAACAUAAAGUGGAAGGAAAGUGUAGUAGAGAUAUUACUCGCUGUCUGAGAAGAUCUACUUGAGACCUCUGAACCAACUUCAUUCCACAGGAACGAAAGCUGAAUGAAAGUACUCAAGCUUCAAACUCCUUGCUAACCGAUAAAAGGAAUCAAGCUUCAAGGACUAUAUGACUAGCUCUUCCACAUCCUCGCCACCAUUCAUAAGGCGUUCAAGGAAUAUUGAUAUAUCUACAGAAAAGAGAAACAAACAUUCUCAGCUGGUCCACUAUUAGCGAGGCCUAAAGUCUUCACUUCAUCAGUCUAGGAAUAACACUAAAGUAGCACCCCUCACUACAUUCUUGUUCACUGAACAUAGAUCUCUAAAGAACAGUGCACUGGUACACGAUAUGAUCUGUUGUCAUGACCCAUGAACUGAGCUUCUCACUAAUCGAAAUGGUCCUCUCAGCAUGUUUCAAGGGAAGCAAGAGAUCGUUUUCUCAGGAUAUUAGUCACCCAAUCUUCCCAAUAGUAUUCCUUAACUCAUGAAUUGAUACACUUGUUCAUUCUCUUUCUAUUUCCACUAGUUUCUUUUGUUCACUUGCAAUGCGGCAUUUGAAUCCAUUUUACUCCACUUCUCUCUCUUUUCUUCCUGAUGAGGGUGAUGUACUCCGGGUACCUGAUCAUCAUGACUGGAAUUCCAGAGGAUUCCUUGAGUACUCGUUACUUCGAGGUCAAAUGGUGCGAUGGUAUUCAUCCAAAAUAGGAAACUGGUAGCGACUUGCAUUUGAUGGACUCUUCCUUCCUGUAGGAAUAGGGGAGAGUGGUAACGUGAGCCACCUUUCCUUUAUACAGCAGUAAUAGCACAUGCAAGUUCCUAGGGUCUAUAUAGCUAGUCAAGGAUCAUAAAACAAUUAGCAAAUCAUCAUGUGGAAUGAUGUAAACUAGCCUUAAAAAGUGAAAGAAGCCCUCAUACCCACUCCUCUUUCCCCACCAAACCAACAAGUAGUAGGUUGGUGGGCCUCGGUAUCUCUAUUUGCUAAGAUGGAUACCUACACCACUCAAUAGUUCCAAUUCAUUGUUUUUUAUCCCAUAGGAAAGAAAAUGCUUCCAGCAAUUUUUUCCUUUCCUCCUCCGUCAUACUUAGGUCUUCACAACCUUCCACCGGAGGCUUGUAUCUGUUUUCCUCCUCCGUCAUACUUAGGUCUUCACAACCUUCCACCGGAGGCUUGUAUCUGUUUUCCUCCUCUUUAGCCAUUACUUCUUUAAUCAUAUCUUUGAUCUUCUUUAGGGGCAAUUUAAACAUGUUCGCAUCCCGCGGGAAGCGGAAAGCCAGAAAGAGAAUUUCCUCCAGUUUAAGAACCGAAAGGAGUUUAUCCAGACUUGGUACCAAACCCGGGAAAAACCCUAAAUGUUGUCUUAAAAACGCUAUAUAAGCAGGGUUAUAGGAAUCAAUAGAUUCCCCUCCCUCCGCUUCAGAGGAGCAGCUUCUUCUAUGGCUAUGGCCAAAAGGAUCCGGUGCGAUGAGUCUCAUCCGUGUAAUAUUUUGGAAUUCCUCUUCCAACUCGUCCCAGAAUGGGCGUUAUGGCAAAGAACAAGAAGAAAAAGACAGAAGGAAUUUGUCCAAUAGUAACAAAUGGUGCCUCCACAGGUUGAUAUCCGAUCCAACCUAGUAGUGAGCAAUCCGCCAAAAGCAAACAAAAUAUUCCUUGUGAAUCGUUCAAAAACUUGAACUACGCACAUACAUUUCUUUAAAAAAAAGGUAAAGCCAAGAGAGAUAUAAAAACUGGUGCUAUUGCGGCUACACCUCCCGCUUUGUCAGGUAUACUGCGAAGAAUGGCAUGGAUCGGUAGGAAAUACCAUUCCUGCACAAUAUGAGGCGGGGUGGGCAUCGGAUUAGCAGGUAUAUAAUUGUCGGGAUGCCCCAAAACAUUAGGAGCAAAAAAAAUCCAAAUGGAAAAAAAGAUAGCAGAAGCUACCCGACCUACAAGAUCCUUUACAUAAAAAUAAGGGUAAGAAGCAAUUUUAUCCAUCUCAGAAUGUACAUCCAAUGGAUUAUUUGAUCCAUAUUGAUGCAAUGCGGCCAGAUGAAGAAGACUGGCGCCUACUAAAAUAAGCGGGAGUAAAUGAUGGAGACUAAAAAAACGAUUUAAGGUGGCAUUGUUCACGGAGAAACCACCCCAAAGCCAAGUCACUAUGGUAUCUCCUACUACUGGUAUGGCGCUAGCUAAGCUUGUAAUUACUGUUGCUCCCCAAAAGCUCAUCUGACCCCAAGGUGGUACGUAUCCUAUAAAAGCUGUCACAAUCAUUAAUAGGAAUAUGACAACUCGGAGACACCGAACAAAUUCCCUAGGACUGCUAUAACUCGCAUGAUAUAGACCACGAAAAAUAUGAAGGUGAACCACAAUGAGAAACAUACUUGCCCCAUUAGCAUGCAUAUAACGGAGCAACCAGCCCCCUUCAACAUCUCUCAUAAUGUGUUCUACGCUGUUGAAAGCUAGAUCCACAUGAGGUGUGUGAUGCAUAGCUAAAAAAACGCCAGUCACUAUCUGAAUGACUAAACAAAUACCUGCUAACGAACCGAACCCCCACCAAUAACUAAGAUUGCUCGGGGUUGGAUAAUCUAUCAAAUGCUGGUUAAUUGUGGAGUAUAUAGGUUGUUUAAGAAGAGAGAAUCGUUGGUUCCUUAUAGUCAUUUCUCUUUUCUAUCGUUACAAUUCCUCUUCCCCCUUAUUUACCCCCUUGCCUUGAUGGAAAUUGGCUUCGCUGCGCCCUGAAUAAUCAAAAAGCUGCAUGAGAAGAUUCAUCCCAUUUUGGCGAGAGGGAGGCAGCGAAUCACCUGGGCUACGGAUUUGUCGGUUAGUUGAUUCUCGAAAUAAGGUCAUUCGGAAAAAAACUGCCGCUUUCUCUGCCGCUUUCUUAAGGCUUCAAACGAACGACUAGUCAUUAAGAAACCCAUGAAAUCCAAGUCUAUUUUUGACCUUUCAUGAAGAAGUUUUGCCUGCGCGCAAACUACCUAGCCCUUUUCAAAAGAACGUCGAUUUCCAUCUCAACAAAGAAAGAACUCAAAAUAAAUGAAAGCAAUAUUGUUGUCCUAUUACUCUUUUUUCCUUGUGGAGCUUUGGAAAGGAGAGAAUUUGAAUAAAGUAACUCUCGGAAACUCUUAUUGGACGAGAGAGAGUCAAUAUGAUAUUGGCGUGGGUUCUACCAACUAAACGAAGAAGUUUUUGAUUGGAUAAACAGCGUAUAAUGAUAGACGCUUCUUCGGCACACAUGGAGACAUACCUCCCGUAGCUGACCCCUGAAUUCAAGGAUACUGCCGGCUUUGUUACUAACUGAUAGAAACCCCUUAAUACAACGUUCGUUUUUCAUAAAUGUCAUAAGGUAGGUAGACCCGGUCUUGCGCUCGUCCGAUUAAGUGGCACAUUGUGCUAAGUGCUCGAACCGUUGGCUGAUCUCAGCUGUAUCGCCUCAUACAAAUUAGUUAAGCGAGAAAACAAACGGCUACAUAGGAGCUCUAUGGUGGACCACCAGCAGGAAGAUCGAAUGGCUUAGCGCAUCCUGCGCCUACUGGACCUGACUUCGUAGGAUACUCUGAUAGACUAGUCGAAUGGCAAUGGCCUAGUGGUUGUAUCUGCUUGCCGGUUCCUAUUAAGAAUAUGAGAGUGACAAAUGAGAUGGAGAUCUUGGCUAUCAUCAAACCAUCCUCCCUCCGCUUAUCUCUUUCCUUUCUAUAUGAUAAGUCUACUCGCUCCUCAAGGGCCGGUCAUUUACGCUCUCCACUACAUGAACAGCAUUCCCAACUAGAUCUGUACGGCUUCCGUUGUCUCCUUUUCGAUUCCCGACUCUAGCUCAUAGGUAUACAUAAGAGCGACCAGCCCUGAAUGCUUAAACCUAUCAAUCCUCUCCUAAAUUUCUUUCUUUUUGUCGUUGGGCAAGGAGCAAUCCAUUCAGCACUUUCCGAUGGGGACCAAAAGCCACUGGGCUACCAAGAAGUCGGAUUUAGUUCAGUCCCGUUUUCAAGAUCCGGUUCAGUGUUUGGGGAUGGCUUGGUCCAAGCCCACAUCCAUAGUAGAUGGACUUGAGCAGGCAAGUAUGCCACCUACUGAUAUGAUUGAUUAUGACAAUUAUGAUAUGGACUGGACGGUUGUGCAACCGAUUGUACUGACUCGCUUACCCCCGAGAACACCUAAGACAUGGGGGUUAUUUACGCGAGUAAGCCUAGCAAGGACCAAGAUCUCGAUCUAGCCUAGUUGGGGCUUUAGAGUCACAUGACACAGUACCAAGAACGGGAGAACCAGUAACAAUUGAUACGGAUUUCCAACCAACGGAUCUUCUUACCUUUGGACCGGAACCUUUAGCUGUUUCCUACUCGGCCUACAGCUUGGUUUGAAAUGAGGGAGCCAUACCGUGUGGUUGAAGCAGAGUACCGUUUUGCAGUGGAUAGGGCACUAUCUCUAUUCGUAGCAGCAUUGCGUAUUGCUCUCACUAGGAAAGGGGGACAUAACCCCUACUAUAGAGCAGGAAUGGAAGGGAAUGAGCUCGGCUGCUUCUCCCCCACACUUCUUUAUUUCUCCGUGCCCCUAUUUAGUUAGUACUUUUGAGUUAAGAGCGAGAAAACGAACUAUUUCAUUUAAUAAAAAAAAGUGCAACGGCUGUAGGGUGAAAAGGCCAUGAGGAUGGCUACGGCUUUGAAGCUCCUUUAUCUACCAUAGAUAGAAUGGAAGAGUUUUUUUUCACUGCACUGAUCCACCAAGGCUAGGGAUAUCCAAUGGGAUGGAGCUAUUUCCCUUGGCACCUUAUAGUCCUCAGACGAUGAACAGAGCACUAGAUGCCCUAAUCUACUCCUAUGCUAAGUGUCUUUGUUUGGUUUGAUUUCUUGUGAAAGCGGCUAGCCCCAUCACUAAAGCAUGCCUGUUCCAUAUGAAAGGUGAUGUAGGUAGGGCUGGUAGGGGAAGUAAGAAAUAGGUGAGACUCGUUAAUGAAACUAGCCUUCAGCCUUAGAUUUCUAAGUUCUGUUUCCACCAUUACUAGUGUUUCCUUGCUUUUCAUAAUAGAAAAAGAUCAACUAAACCAGAGAUUGUCGUAGAGAUUGGCAGGACUGGGUAUUAUUCUGGGCGAUGAAAUGGAUGGAAUUUCUUGAAACAUAACUCACUUCACUUAUAAUCAAAUUUGGAAAAGGGAGACUAGCUGCUGCAAUAAAUCAAGAAGAAAGCAGGCGCAAAAGAGAAGCUCAAUGAGAGAGAUUCUAGACCGGUCAUGGUCGGGGCUGAUCGAUCGCUCCUUAAAAGGGAGUUAACUGCUUCGAACCAUACAUGAAACUUAUCUCAUAGAGUGAGCUAGCCCCAGAUAGCGAAGGAUAGCUAUUGACUUAUUGGGAAACCCGCCUCCAAUACAUGCUUAUCCCAGACCCCCUAUUCCUUCAUUUUAGGUUUUCAUGGCCGAUUCAAUAACAUAGUCCGCACACCUCUUUUCAAUUCUCUAGAGAUAGUUGUCAUUUAUCUCUUCUUCCGGGUCCCUCCUAUUUGGUUGGAAGUUUCCUGCUCCAGUUGGGAAAGCAAGUGAUUGAUUAGUUCCAUUGGUCUAUUGUCUUCAGCUUCCAGUCUACCUCAUUUCUAUCAAAAUGAUCUGGUGUCUAUGUCCAUGCCCGAGGUUGGUAAACCCUAUAUCUAUUGCAAACGAGCUUUUCGGAAGGGACAGCUUGUAAUCCACGACUUACUACUACGAGGAUUCUGGCGGAGUGCUUUUCACAUAUAGAUAGGUUGGGACGAAGAAGCUCCGUAGUCAACUAAUAGAUAGAAAAUCACAGUAACCUUUUUCCAACAGUUUCGCCAUGAUAAGAACAACCUUGUCAUACAUGAUAAUUAUGGGCUUUCUUCCUCCUUCUUUAUAGUCUGCAGUUCAAUCUGCCAAGUCCGAUUCAUCUUUUUCCAAUACUGCGAGCCAAAGGCACGCUUCUAUUUAGUCACAGUCACAUGCUCACCCUUGACUCUAUAAAUAAAACCAGUAGCUUGGACUAGCGAGUAUAGUUCCCUGGCGCCGGGCCCUCAAUAAAGUCCAUCGUGGCCAUAUCCCAUGGUUUCUCUUUCUUAAUGCUGACCCCAAUGUUGAUCGACCGUGCUUAUUAUGAUAUUUUAUUCAAUUCAUACCACUCAAAGCCCAGGCCAUUGGCUGCGCCGCUUUCUGCAACUCGUAGUCACAAAACCUUAUUAAUCUAAGUGAUUUCUUGUCAACGGAUCGCUAUCGCUUACAAGAACGGAUGCAGAAAUGGGACACCUGAAGGUGAAACAAGAGACUCAUACCCAUGGUCAUCUGAUUGAUCUACUCGGCUUCGGUACUGAAAUGAAAAGGCCAAAGGACAAACAAAAGACGUUUUGUCUGCUCCAGGCGAGGUAAGAGCGAAUGAUCUUUUUCGUGAUUUCCAUCGUAAGAAGAUCGACUUGUAGAAGUCUAAAAAUGGGGAGUAAAGGAAGAGGCAGGCUGAGCUGACUCUUGUUCAAUAUCAUUCUCAUGAUGUGUGGUGCAAAGAGAAGAUUCUUGUGGAAAUCCCUUCUUUCUAGCUUGAUCAAUUUCUGUAAGAAUGAAGCUAGUGACAUUAAACUUCUGGCUCUUCAUUAUGAAGUCAACUACAUGCCAAGACCCUUUAUUCCAAGUAGAUUGCAUCUGCAUUCCCUUUUGAAUCAAUAAGGUAUUGACUGGUUGUUUUCACCUUUCGAACGAAGGCCACUACUCUUUGGAAAAGGUCCACGAGUCGAAUCAGUAAGAUUUCAUCAAGAAGAUUUAUCACCACAGUGGCGUGCUAUUUCAUUGUUUUGUUAUCUAGCCGGGCUAGAGAAGAGCUAUCGCCAUCAUCAAACAAAGAAGCCAAGGACUGGUCAAAAGAGAGGAGGGACCACAUUCUCGAAUCCACUCAUGGAAAAUGCCCCACCUCUAUCAAAUUGGUAUUCAUCUCGAAGGAAAAUAAGAGAGUUUUGUUUUGCCACAAUGAGUAAACAACAAGUUUGAUUUUGAAAAAGCCCAUUCCUUUUUUGGGAUAGUUUGCCAAGGAAAGUCAUACGAAGGCAAAGCGGACAACGGGAAAAGGUACCUUUAAACCUCGUUUCAGUACCAAUAUUCCCGCCUUCAAGGGCAUAUGAAGGAGCUCCUAUUGCUUAAGAAAGUACAGCAGAAAUAAAGUCUUUGGGUAGAUGAGGUCACUGAUUAGCCCGCUGAGCUGCUCUGUCCCCUCUACCGGGAUGGGAUGGUUUAUGUGCUUGUCCCGAUGAAGCUUAGGAUCCGAUAGAAACACGGGGUCAACUAAGGAAAAAAUGGGAACCUUUGAAUGACGCGCCUUCCUCAGGAUGCGCGCUCUCUUUUCAGGAUUGAGAAUGACGACACAGCCUGGAGGUCUUUCGUCUACUUCUUCUGUCCAGGCCUGUUUGUAUUCCCACCAUACCUUUCCGCAUCGUCCUUCUCUAUUGGGGGCUCCCAACACCUCAGCCACACAUCUUUUUCGUUCGCUCCCCAUUUUAUUCUCUAAGGAACCCUCUCCUUAAUGAGCGUAGAUUGAUGGAGAUGGCUUUUGUACCGGUCAAUCUUUAUAUCCUUUCUGGCAUAGUUUCGUAAAAGAUCGGCAGGUGAUCCGUCCUUUCUCCUCUGCCGUGGUUCAUGCAUUCUUCCUUUUUGGAAAGUGGAUAGGGAUCGGGUGAAUUAGAGAAUAGACAGACGUCCGUUGGCAUUUCAGCCUUUCUUCUCCUUUCAGGGCCUAUCCGAAAGAGAAUCCAGUACCUCUUGGUCCUAAAUAUCAGAAUAGAACGUGCAACAAUGGAACAACAAGAGCAAGACCGCUCCAAACUAAAUCACAGUAGAAGUUAUGGCCACUCAGGCUGGACCAAAACAGCAAGCGGAAGGUCUCCGAAAGUCCUACAUUAGCACCAAGCCAUCCCCCAAGGGAGGGUAUAAUGGAGUGUGGUAAAAUCCAGUUGCUAACGCUCCCGGCUGUGGGUUCUUCACAAUUAGCAGGGCUUCUAUUCUAGUACAGAGAUCACCACUUGUUAUGCCAGGGUCUCCUUUUUCGAGUUGGUUACUGUCUUGUUGGGCAACGUUUUCCCGGCAAUCUCCGCUUAUUAGGGCGGCCUCUAACAGGUCGGGAGAGUACUAAAAAUCUGGCUCAUACGCCUCGCAAGAUUGAACAUCUGCGAAAGUCGUCUCGAAGCUCUGACUCUCGAGAGAAAGUCUUGCCUACCAGUGACUUAUUUUACGGAAUAAGAAUGCCUACUGUACUAGCUUCUUUCUUGACUCCAUUAACUCAGUUUACAGAAAGGAAUCCGUCCAGUCCAGUAAGAAGGAAUAGAGAAGAAGAAAGUCACUCAUCAACUCCUACUUUGGUUAUUGAGACUUGCCCGCGUAUCUGACCUAUGUGUACCUAUUCCCUAGCCUAAGUAGCUUACCCACUGUCCUAAUAACUGGCUGUCAAUCCGGCAGCUUGCCCUACUACCUAUCGACGCUACUGUCCUAAGUCUCCUACUCAUAUACCCAAGGUCAAAGACUUUGCAGGGCAACAAACUGAUUUCGGAAUUGCUUAACUGCUGAGAGCUAAUAUCGGGGAGUAGUAAGCCAGCCCACCACAAGAUGAAUGAGUGCUCCUCUCCUAUGCCGACUUACUAGCCAGGUUGAGCCUUUGAGCCAUAAGAGGAGGGAGAAUCUGGUUGAUUUUCCAGGGAAUGAUUAUAUGGAUUUCAAGGAGGAUAUUGUUACCUUCAUCAGAUUGAUUGAUAACUGGUCGUCGAUUGACAACUACUGCUUUUUCCAGUGAGAAAGGAAGGAGGAAGGGGAUCUCAACAAGCCAUGGAUAUAUAGCCUACAGCCGAGUCCACAAAGAAGACGGUUUCAAAGCUCGAAGAGCAUAUUUGUGAGGCUGAUCCCUAAGUGCAGAGUUUCAUGUGACGAACAACGAAACUCCAUUUCUUCAAACACAACCCUGUGCCACCGACAAACGUUUGACUUUGACUGUGUUUUUUUUGGGCUAUGAAGAUUCUACUUAUACCCAAUGAUGGAACAUUUUGAAAAUAUGUUCAACGGGGUCUUAAGAAAGGCAAAUUUCAGGCCUGUAGUUUUUAAGAUCAUCUCGCUAAUCGAAAGAUGAAGGAUAGCGAACACUAGAUGGCUAGUGGCCUUAUGCAAACAAAGAAGAGGGAUGCCUAACCAAUUGAUCCUAAAAGAUCUUAUUUGAGAUAGGUCAGAUUGGACUUAGUGGCCAAUGUUAGGGAUGGUAGAGUCAAUAUGGGAUGUGGAAUUCCAGGAAACGUUCUUAUCCGCGCUCACUGAUAAUGUGAACCUGGUCCUUAGUUUCCUCCAACUGAUUCCUGUUUUUUUGAGCCUUUUUCAGUAAGUCCUUAAUAGCGAAAAAUGCUUUGACUCUAAGGGUUACCUUGGUACCUUUAUUCGGAUAUGCUUCUUUUCGGACAGGAGGGGCAGAUUGAGAUUCAGGCAAUGGCAGAUGGAUUCUAUUGAGAAGGGCUGGCUGCUCUCGACGACGGGGUGGGGGAAUGAGAUGCUGGGAGAUGGGAGUUAUUGGUGGAUUGAGAGGGGAGCAGAUGCGUGGGCUAGUUCAAUCUUUUUGCUCCUGCCUUCCUAGCCUUAUGGACAGGAGUCCUCUGGCCUAGUCCUGAAACUCUUCUCGCAGCCUUCCUUGCCCUUAUUGCCCGGCAUACCUCGGAAGGCAUACCCUGGAACCAAUUCAUUCAUCUGCCCUCUUCGCGAUAAAGCUUUGCCUUACUUUGCUUGCUGGCUCUAAGCCCACCUCCUUUACUACACUACACCCUCUCACCGCCCCUAUUCAGCCCGAAAGGCUUCUAACUUCCCCGAAACCUUACUUAUUCAGGGCAAGAUUCGGAACUUAGGGUCAC
rnacentral:lncRNA from 1 species